AAAAAAAUGAUGUUUGAUAGCAGAUAACAUGAAUGCAUGAAAAAGAGAACUCAAAACCUUCAGGAUAUAGACUGACAUGGGAGUUGAAUGCUUGGAUAAUCCAAUUCCUAGACAUGUUUGAUUUAAACCUAUGAAUUCCAUGUGGAGCUGCUAUACCCUUGUUCUCUGCCUUUGAACUUUCUUUUGACCAAUGAGGCAUUGGCAUCUAAUACUGCGAGGUUGCCUUUUAUUUUGUUUCAUAGAGCAUAGUUGUUUCUUUGUUCUCCUCUUCUCCAUUGUCUUUUUAGACAAAAUUCAAAAAUGCCUUAGCUUAUAUGCCAGUAGAUAUUUUUUCCUCUUCAUGAGCUAUUCAUCAUAUUAUGUUCUUGCUUUAUGGAUUAAGGAAAUGUAGUUAAUAUGAUUAAAGUAGUAAAUUUGAUUUACUCCUUUCCUAAUAUGCCCUCUACUCAUAUUGCUCUAUUAAAAAUUAAAUAAUUCAUGUUACUAAAUUAUUCUUGGAACUGAUAUAUUUUACUUUUUAAUGCACAUUAAACAAGUGCAUAUUUGUAAGUUAAUAAAAAAAAUUACUUUUUCAAAAAGGGAAGCGGCCUAUAAUUUAGGAUAGAUAAAAAAGGAAAAGUGAGUCUAUCUUUGUGGGACAGAUGGAGUAUUAGACAUAAAAUGUCUUUAUGCAGCAGUUUCUCCAUCUUUCGAAUCAUUGAAUGACUACUGUCUAUUCACUCAAUUGGGAUUUUCUUGUUGGUUGUUUUUUUCCCCCAUAACUGGGGAAUAUGGCCUGGAUGAAGCUAGUCCAGCAGGGGUUUUCUCAUAACUGAACUCUUUGAAUUGAGACUCAAGUAUUUAGGAUUUUGCAUUUUUGUAAAACCAACCCCCAUGCCCUUCUUUUUUUCUUCCAAGUUUGUUUAGCUCUGUUAGAAGCUUUGCUGGUCCUGCUGACAUACCUGAAAUUUUUCAGGCACCUUUGGAAGAAACAUGGACUGCACUGUUUUCAAGUCUUAGAUAUGCUAAAAAUUUCAGUGGUCCGGUUUGUUUUCGCCAUGUUGUUCUUGCUCCUUUGGGAUAUGAGACUGCACUCUUUAAGGGACUAAGUGAAGAUAUAAAUUGUGAGGGAGCAUCAGCACGUGAUCUUUGGCAAAACCCUAAUGA
rnacentral:misc_RNA from 1 species